UACGGAGGGUGCAAGCGUUAAUCGGAAUUACUGGGCGUAAAGCGCACGUAGGCGGCUUUGUAAGUUAGAGGUGAAAGCCUGGAGCUCAACUCCAGAAUUGCCUUUAAGACUGCAUAGCUUGAAUCCAGGAGAGGUGAGUGGAAUUCCGAGUGUAGAGGUGAAAUUCGUAGAUAUUCGGAAGAACACCAGUGGCGAAGGCGGCUCACUGGACUGGUAUUGACGCUGAGGUGCGAAAGCGUGGAGAGCAAACAGG
rnacentral:rRNA from 1 species